UACGUAGGGGGCAAGCGUUGUCCGGAAUUAUUGGGCGUAAAGCGUGCGUAGACGGUUAUUUAAGUCGGGUGUGAAAGCCCCGGGCUCAACCUGGGAAUUGCAUUCGAGACUGAAUAGCUAGGGUACGGUAGAGGGAAGUGGAAUUUCCGGUGUAGCGGUGAAAUGCGUAGAUAUCGGAAGGAACAUCAGUGGCGAAAGCGACUUCCUGGACCAGUACCGACGUUCAGGCACGAAAGCGUGGGGAGCAAACAGG
rnacentral:rRNA from 1 species